rnacentral:lncRNA from 1 species
GAGGACAGUGCUCUACCACAGAGCCUCAUAGCAAAUGGAAAAACCCAAGUAAGAGUUAGACCCACAGGUACAAUAGGAAUUAUGAGUGCGAUCCAAAUGCAGAAUCAUUAAACUGCAUUGGGCUCACUAAUUGACUCCCCCACAUUAGCAGUGAGCAGCCCUCUGGCCAAGUGGGGACUCAUUCAAUAGCCUUUAUCUUUCUAUCUCAUUCAGUCAAUUCAUUAAAGCCUGUUGAUCUCCCAGGGCGCCUUCCGAUGAGUUGCACUGUUUUGUUUCUUGUGCUCCUUGGCUCAUAGAUCUCUUUCACAAUGUCCCUGGUUUCUAAAUGCUCCCAAGCACCAGCUGAGCUUGCGUUCCCAGACAGAGCCAGCAGGCGGUAGCAACACUUCAGGGAAGGCCCCAGCCAGUCACGCACCCCCCCCCCCCCGCCCCGCCCGCCCCGGCCAGUCCAGUCCUGAGCUGGAGAGAAGGUGGAGGGUGGGCGCUAAUAUUUUUCCUCCUUGGACUGCUCAGCCCUAGCUCCAGGCACCACCUGAGCGCACUUUCCACUGCCUCUCAUCAUCCAGGAGUGUGUGUGUGUGGGGGGGAGGGGUCCCUUGCAGGGCGGGCUGGAAGGAGGAACCCGGAGGUACAGGGACUUGCCAAAGCCAGCUAGACCAGGCACAUGGGGACCUCCCCUUUCCAGGCUGGGUUCCCUUCCCUUGAGCAGGGUGGAGGGAGGGAGGUUCCAGUCAGAAGCCCCAGCGCUGACCCAGAUCCAGGCUGGAGCAGGCAGGGGAGUCUGAGUGCUGCGCAGGGACGCUUUACGACCCUGCGCCCGACUCUGGGGCUGCCUGACCUCCCCGCACCCGGCCCACACCCCAAGAUUUGUUGGUCUCGCCCCCAUCGCUUUUCUUUCUUCUUCUUUUCCUCAGUUCACGCCCACCUUAGAGCAAACCUGAGCAGGAGUCCCACUGCUUCAGUUCCCGGAGUUAGAGCCCAGAAGAGUCCCCGCACCGAGCAGACGCGUGCCGCAGCCAAGCAGGAUCCCCGGACCCAAGAGGACACGCGGAGCCCCCGCGAGCUCUGGGAGUCGCAGCUCCACCGCAGACCUCCAGGGGCUCAGACCGCGGAGCUUUAG